UACAGAGGGUGCAAGCGUUAAUCGGAAUUACUGGGCGUAAAGCGCGCGUAGGUGGUUUGUUAAGUUGAAUGUGAAAUCCCCGGGCUCAACCUGGGAACUGCAUCCAAAACUGGCAAGCUAGAGUAUGGUA
rnacentral:rRNA from 1 species